UUAGGUAUAUUUUAUUCCAUUAUCUUAUCUGAUCACCUGCAUUUUGUAUGUGCUUUGUUUUUCCACCCAAGUUUUGAACUUCCAGAAGAUGUCAGCAACUUUAAAUUUAUAAUUCAUGAAAUAAAUCCAGCACAUUCUUGUAUGAUCAUCAAUGAUGAUCUCUUCAGGUUUUAUUUUGUGGAAAAGGAAGUCUUGUCUGUUUCCUAUACUGGCAGGCUACACACAAAGAAAGUUCUUCUUUUAAAUCAGGAACUGUGACAAGAAUUUUUUGAACAAUUCUAGAAUCAGAGAAAUUAGGACCAAGAAGCCUUACUUUGUUUACAAUGUCAAGAAGUCUAUCAGAGUAAUCCUUCAUGGUUUCUGAUUCAUUCAUUCUUUGCACCUCAAAUUCUCUGAUUAGAUGUAGAACUUGCAUGCCCUUCACUGAUUCAUUCCCUUCAUACUUCUUUAUCAUGAAGUUUUU